CUCUUUUUGAAUAUAAUAUAAAGUCGGGCCUGCCCACUGAAAUUUGAAGGGCCGCAGUAUUUUGACUGUGCAAAGGUAGCAUAAUCAUUAGUUUUUUAAUUGAAAGCUUGUAUGAAUGGUUUGAUGAGAAAAUAUCUGUUUCAAUUUUAAUUUAUAGAACUUAAUUUUUAAGUAAAAAAGCUUAAAUCUUAUUUAAAGACGAGAAGACCCUAUAGAGUUUUACUAAUAAUAUAAUUAUAUAUUAUAGAAUUAUUUAUUUAUAUUUAUAUAAAGGUUUUGUUGGGGUGACAAAAAAAUUAAAUAAACUUUUUUUAUAUAAAUACAAUAAUUAUUGAAUUUUUGAUCCAUUAAAAUGAUUAUAAGAUUAAAUUACCUUAGGGAUAACAGCGUAAUUUUUUUUAAGAGUUCUUAUUUAAAAAAAAGAUUGCGACCUCGAUGUUGGAUUAAAAUUAAUUUUUGGUGAAGAAGCUAAAAAAUUGGGUCUGUUCGACCUUUGAAAUUUUACAUGAUCUGAGUUUAAACCGGUGUGAGCCAGGUUGGUUUCUAUCUUAAAUUUAUUUAAUAUUUUAGUACGAAAGGAUCAAAUAUUAUAUUAAUAAUAAUUAAUUUAUAGAAUUUUAUUUUGGCAGAUUAGUGCAAAGGAUUUAGAAUCUUUUUAUGUAUUUAUAUACAAAUAAAAAUUGAUUUAAUUUUAAUUUUCUUAAAUUUUUUAAUUUUAAUUAUUAGGGUUCUAGUAGGGUUAGCUUUUUUAACUUUGCUUGAACGUAAAUUAUU
rnacentral:rRNA from 1 species